AGUUUGAUAAGCAAUAGCGGAAGGCAGCCAUCAGCAAACGGUUAUCAGAUCAGUAAAGGCGUUUGUGAUGUAGAUGUUUGGUAAAUAUUUUAUCAGCAUGGCAAUAUGAGAUCCACAAAGCGCCCCUUCUCUGAGUGAUACAACGGCAGACGGCGGGGGUGGAGGGGGGCCGGGGGAGAUGGCAGAUAAGAAUCCCCCACACCUUAUUUAUUUUAUUUAUUUAUUUGCGGCUUUCACACACACACACUAAAGGGGAAAAAAAUGAAAGACCGGGGGUUUCCCAUUGUAGCCAGUGUACGUGAAACAUCGAUAGCUAUUUUCGUGCAGAACAGAGCGUACCUGGUAGCCCUCCCAGAAGUGGAAGACCCACGUUUUUUUCCCAAAUGCAUGAUGCGAUAUGGGGCGAAGACACCAAAGAAGGUCUUCCCAUCGUCGGUGUCGAUGUCCAGCAGCUGAUUGGUGUCCGUCCACAGCUGAUCGCCGCCCUGCAGUUCGAAGACGGCGCCCAGGUAGAUGCUGCUGAAGACUUGCCCGCUUGUUUCGAAAUCGUUAGAGGCGCCGACGCAGGGUGACUUGACCGCACUGAGCAGCGGCUUCUCGGCGCCGUAAGACGCGGAGUAACGCAUCACCGUGUGACUGAGCGCCACGUUCCACAGCUCCUGCCUGUCAUCGGAGGUGCUGCACGAAACACGGAAUGAGGCCUGGCUGUACACGAAGUACAGUCCCGUGUAUGGGAUGAUGAUUUUGUUUUUUCGUAGAGUUAGGCCCCCCUGGACGAAGGAAUGGCCAUUUCUGAUGCUCCAUUCCACUGAAGAGUUGAAGUGCUUUGGAUUCACAGAGCCUGAAGGAAAGCGUAAAUAUUAGCCACCUGCAUGCAAGCGCAAGCCUAGUCUUUCCAUAAAACUACCUCAAAACUGCAUCUAGUCUAGACUAGUCGUGUCUGAUGCGAUGCCUCUUUGUGGCUUUCUGUUUCAAGGUGUUGUCCUAUUAUUGUAAAUGCGGUAGCUAUCGCCUUGCAGCUCAUGUAAACUGUCUGCAUGCCUAGUAGAGUAUAGGACAGUGAUCCGACGGGCUCAACUGCAAAGUGCAUGUAGGUACCUUACCUUCAACAUGUAUUCCCGCCUUGACUUUGUCGGCUAUCUGUUUGAGGGUUGUCUGCUGGUCUGUGGAGGAAGAGAGGAUCGCAAGACUGUAAGUCUCAUGUAGCAGUCGAAGAGAAGAAAUGCUGCACUGAGUGCAGUUACAAGAGUCCAGCAGUUGGCUUCCGGCAUCUAUGGCCUUACCUGAAUGUGCCAGGUGAAGAGCAGAGCGAGGACAGCGCAGACGACCAUGAGUGACAGCACACUGCACAGCUUCCAAAACCAGCCUCCAGACGACUUGUGCCCCGCAGCCAUCACCUGCCCGCUCUCGAUGUCUUCCGUAGUCUUGCCGUAAACCGUCAUGGCAGCCAACCCAGAGUCCAGUAAUUAAAUAUAGAAGGAAAAGCCAAUGAAUGCGCUCGAGACGUUUCGCAGAGCUGUACUCUCGCUUGCCAGUGGUUUGUCAGCAGCAGAUAAAUAAGUGAGUUUGUGUCUGCACUCAUUCUCAGAUGCAGUUUUAUAUCUGUGUAGCCCCACGGAAACUCCUGUGAUGUCAUGCUCGCCGGUGGUAAUAGAAAUGGCUUCAGUUGUCUCCUUGGGGAGGAGGGGCUGUUGGGUAGAGGAAGAAUCCGUGAAAUUCUGUAUUUCGAAGUGACUCCUCCCCUGACACCGACACACACGCACACACACAUCCGCCCAUACACAAACACACACGCACUUGCAUACUAACAAAGUAUGUGUGCGUUCCUGCUCUGGCUCUGCUGCCUCCGGGCGCUGACGUGCAGGCCCCUCCCUCUUUUGCUUUCGGGUUGGCCUCCAUAGUGGAAAAACCACCAAUCAUCCACGUGUCUCUUACUUCUCCUUCUCUGCUUUCCCUUUUGUCUUCCUCUUUUUCGUUUCGUCAUGUUUUUCCUUUUCUUUUUGCAGUUUCUAUUUUUAGAGGUUUUUCGCAUAGGGUUUCCCAUGUUGAAAGCCCUGUGUUUUAACACGAUGGCUAAACAAACACUCUUACUCCACAUGCAACUUUUCCCAUCUCUCAUCAUCCUUUUGUUUUCCUUUUCCUUGUCUUUCUGUUCGAUCUAUAUUAUCUGUUCAUUGUCUUUUACAUCAAUACACAAUGCAUGAUUAUCUGCAUAAAAAAAAUAUAAAAUACAGACAAGGCACAUUCUUGUUAAAAUACACUGCAUUUUUGUUAUGGACGCAUGAAUUAUAUAGACGGAUCAGAUUUGAUAUUUGUGUUGCUUUGAGAAACAUGUAUACAUACAUUUAGUCAUAUCAGGCUUUUAACACUUUUCCAUUUAUUUCAUGAACUGCAGAUUUUCUUAUUGUUGUUAAGCAUUAGAAAGUUAAGUGAACAACUAUAAAUGAAAAUAUAAGUCAAAUCAAAUAAAACAAGUUUUCUUUAUAACAUGGAAAGAGUAUGUGAAUUAAAACAAGGAUGUCUGACAUCCUAUCAACUUGUUAUGUAGUGAUGACAUAUAAAAAUUCUAGGCUGUCCUUUAACUUUAAAUGCACUAGUUACCUGUUUCAUCCCAUGAAACAGGCCAGUAUGUAACGUCUCUUGUAGAAGGAAUGGCUCAGAUUUUCUCUGCUGUUAAAACUGCUAGAGGAGGUUAAUUUGAUGAAUUGCAGUCAGGACAUUUCCUUGCUAAUAUAGGUUCUCAAAUGGUGAACAUACUGUAAUUGCAUUUCUUAGCAAAGAAUAUUGAGUGUAUGUUUUUAACAAAUGUUUAGUGAGUAACAUGCAAAUGUUGAAAAUCUCAGCGUGUGCAAAAGCUUUUGACUGGUGGUGUAUUUCAAUCGAAAGGUUAAACGUAAAAAUUAAGAAAUGAAAUUUGUUUGAGCGGCCUGA